GCACGGUAAUACGGAGGGGGCAAGCGUUGUUCGGAAUUAUUGGGCGUAAAGGGCAUGUAGGCGGUUCGGUAAGUUAAAGGUGAAAUGCCAGGGCUUAACCCUGGAGCUGCUUUUAAUACUGCCAGACUCGAGUCCGGAAGAGGAUAGCGGAAUUCCUAGUGUAGAGGUGAAAUUCGUAGAUAUUAGGAGGAACACCAGUGGCGAAGGCGGCUAUCUGGUCCGGUACUGACGCUGAGGUGCGAAAGCGUGGGGAGCAAACAGGAUUA
rnacentral:rRNA from 1 species